rnacentral:rRNA from 1 species
CAGCAGCCGCGGGAAUACGAAGGGGGCUAGCGUUGUUCGGAAUUACUGGGCGUAAAGGGCGCGUAGGCGGCCAUUCAAGUUAGAUGUGAAAGCCCUGGGCUCAACCUAGGAAUUGCAUUUGAUACUGUUUGGCUUGAGUUCGGGAGAGGUGAGUGGAGUUCCCAGUGUAGAGGUGAAAUUCGUAGAUAUUGGGAAGAACACCAGUGGCGAAGGCGGCUCACUGGACCGACACUGACGCUGAGGCGCGAAAGCGUGGGGAGCGAACAGGAUUAGAUACCCGAGUAGUCCCUGUCUCUUAUAA